UAUAAACAAGAGAAAUCCACCAAAUAUCUUUUUUUAUUUAUUUAUUUUUUUAAUGGCUACAUUGAAGAGCCAUAGACCUUCAGUGUAAUACAUUGCUCCUGUUUAAUGUGCAUUAGUCUUGUUUGUCUCGUUCAUCUUUCUUAGUACUGUACUUGUUUGUACUGCACAUCUACUCGGAGUGUUGUUUCAAUAGCCCUUUCCCUGCAUUCACAGCUUCAUCUCCAGAGCUCUAGUCAGUCCUGCAAGGUUCAGAUCAGCUCAAUGAUUCUCCCUGUGUGGGACUGUGUCUCUGCAAGAGGAUUUCCACUGCUCAUGUCAUUAGGAUCUUGUUGCGACAUGAAUCUUGAAGUUAUUUAUAAUUCUGUGACAAGUACCGACAGCAGUGCUGUACUGUAUAUACGGUGGCUGGAAGAGGUGCUGAUCCAUUAGCCUUAUCUGUCCAUCCGUCCAGUGGUUUAGGUCGGCCAGGGUGUCCUCGGCUCACCGCGCACCAGCAACCCCUGCAGUCUGGCCAGGUGCCUGCGGGCUUGCCUGUAAGCUGCCCAGAGCUGCGUUGUCCUCCGACGCUUAUUGUGACAGUGCUCGGUAACACUACAUUAUAGAUCAUUCUCAUUAAGAAUCUGAAGAGUUUGAGACAGGAAUCCCCUCCUCUUUGCACCCAGUGAGUCAGGAGACUGCUUACCUACAUGCGCAGAUGAUUAGGCUUCCUGUGUGUGCCUGGAGUUUCUGUAUUUACUGCAGGUCUAGCACCCAAGCAAGCCGAGGACAACGUGCCCUUUACCAGCAUCCGGUAUGCCAACAGACCUGGACAUGCCCUUGAGAACGAAACAUGACAGAAUACAUGGAUGUGGAGUACAGGCAGCAGGCGGUGGUCCCUGUGAGCUCUGACUCUCACGGUGGUGAAGACGUGGCUGUAUUCGCCAGAGGCCCCAUGGCUCACCUGUUCCGUGGCGUGAAGGAGCAGAACUACAUCGCCCAUGUGAUGGUGUACGCGGACUGCAUCGAGCCCUACACUGAGUGCCCGAAG